AUUGCCUCAGUAACGGCGAGUGAAGCGGCAACAGCUCAAAUUUGAAAUCUGGCCCUUUCAGGGUCCGAGUUGUAAUUUGUAGAGGAUGCUUCGGCGAGGGCUCCCGUCUAAGUUCCCUGGAACGGGACGUCAUAGAGGGUGAGAAUCCCGUAUGUGAUGGGUUGCUCGAGCCAUGUGAAGCUCCUUCGACGAGUCGAGUUGUUUGGGAAUGCAGCUCUAAAUGGGAGGUAAAUUUCUUCUAAAGCUAAAUACCGGCCAGAGACCGAUAGCGCACAAGUAGAGUGAUCGAAAGAUGAAAAGCACUUUGGAAAGAGAGUUAAAAAGUACGUGAAAUUGUUGAAAGGGAAGCGCUUGCAACCAGACUUGUCCGCAGUUGCUCAGCCGGUCUCCUGACCGGCGUACUCUUCUGCGGCCAGGCCAGCAUCAGUUCGGGCGGCUGGAUAAAGGCCUCGGGAAUGUGGCUCUCUUCGGGGAGUGUUAUAGCCCGGGGCGGAAUGCAGCCAGCCUGGACUGAGGAUCUCGCUUCGGCAAGGAUGCUGGCGUAAUGGUUGUAAGCGGCCCGUCUUGAAACACGGACCAAGGAGUCUAACAUCUAUGCGAGUGUUUGGGUGUCAAACCCAUACGCGUAAUGAAAGUGAACGGAGGUGGGAACCCGCAAGGGCGCACCAUCGACCGAUCCUGAUGUCUUCGGAUGGAUUUGAGUAAGAGCAUAGCUGUUGGGACCCGAAAGAUGGUGAACUAUGCCUGAAUAGGGUGAAGCCAGAGGAAACUCUGGUGGAGGCUCGCAGCGGU
rnacentral:rRNA from 1 species